AACCAAGAAGGUUAAAUUAUAUUUUAAUGGUAAAAAGGCAGUUAAAUACCUCAACAAGUUUAUUUAAUAUUUAUAAAGGGGUAGAAUUUGUAUAUAAAUAUUAAAUCUAAUUAUGACUUAGAUAUUGAAGCUGUGACAUCCUUGAGGGAAACUGGGAUUAGAUACCCCAUUAUUCUUGGACAUAAAAAAUAGUUAUUUACCGGAGUACUAUGAACUAAAAAAUUUAAAACUCAAAGAGCUUGACGGUAUUUUAGACCUCUCAGGGGAACCUGUCCCGUAAUCGACAAUCCACGUUAUACCUGACCCUACCUUGUUUUCAGUUUGUAUACCAUCGUCGUCAGGUAACUUUUAAAAAGCCGGAAGUUAGCAAAAAAGUGCUGUAUACUUAUACUUCAGAUCAAGGUGCAACUUAUAGUAGGGUGAGGAUGGGUUACAAUUAUAAAAUCAUAACUACGAAGUAAUUGUUAGAAUAAGUAAUUACAAGGAGGACUUGAAAGUAAAUUAUAUUAUAUAAAUAUUUUGAAUAGGGCUCUGAAAUGUGU
rnacentral:rRNA from 1 species